rnacentral:rRNA from 1 species
GAUGAACGCUGGCGGCGUGCCCAAUACAUGCAAGUCGAGCGAACAGACGAGGAGCUUGCUCCUCUGACGUUAGCGGCGGACGGGUGAGUAACACGUGGAUAACCUACCUAUAAGACUGGGAUAACUUCGGGAAACCGGAGCUAAUACCGGAUAAUAUAUUGAACCGCAUGGUUCAAUAGUGAAAGACGGUUUUGCUGUCACUUAUAGAUGGAUCCGCGCCGCAUUAGCUAGUUGGUAAGGUAACGGCUUACCAAGGCAACGAUGCGUAGCCGACCUGAGAGGGUGAUCGGCCACACUGGAACUGAGACACGGUCCAGACUCCUACGGGAGGCAGCAGUAGGGAAUCUUCCGCAAUGGGCGAAAGCCUGACGGAGCAACGCCGCGUGAAUGAUGAAGGUCUUCGGAUCGUAAAACUCUGUUAUUAGGGAAGAACAAAUGUGUAAGUAACUAUGCACGUCUUGACGGUACCUAAUCAGAAAGCCACGGCUAACUACGUG